UUUGGCGCGGCACACCUCGACUUAUUUUAAAGGAAAACUAAAAAAAAUUCGAAGGUGCCAUAAGCUAUUUGACGAAUCGUGACUAAUUGGACUUAAUGCUUCUGGAAAAUCCUUAUUAGCACACAUGCCUUGUAUUUUUCAAAACGACUAUACCAUUCAAAAUUAUAGCUCAACAAAAUAAAGUCAGUGAUUGAACAAUGAGCUUCUAUCAUUUUAAACAUUUGUAAUUUACACGAAUAGCCACCCAAAUAGCUAUAUUGUUGAUUAUAGAAUACAUCAUCACAAAGGAAUAAAAUAACCCAACAAUUAAACUCAAACUCAUGUUAUCCAAGUUCAGAAAAUGCAUUAGAAGGAAAUGAACUAAUUUUGACAGAAAAAGUUGUUUUAAUUAUAUUUUGUAUGCUGAAUCAAACUAGGUGAGGUAUUUAAACUAGCAGAGGACUUUUAACUUCAAAUCUGCAUAUAACCUACAAGCAUCAAUCCCCAGCCUGAUCUCCAAAUUUUGAUAGCAAACUAAUGAACAAUUGUUUCCAAUUAAUAGGACAAUGAAAUCGCAGAAUCCUCCAUCCUGAAAUCGCUAAACUGAACUUCUUCCAAACCAAACAUGGCCACAUGAGGAUCAGGCUUCAAAUAUACCACGCUAAAGGUUAUCCCAAACAUGAAUCAUCAUUUUAACAGUAAUGUAUUACCAAAAAUAUUGAAACCAAUAUAUGAGGAAUCAACAAGUUGAAUAUUUAAAUUAAAAUACACCGGCAAUAUCCAGGAUUAACGGAAUAAGUACUCUAAUUAACUUGGAAGUCUUAAACAUGCUGGACCCAUAAAAUUAAACACAAAACAUGACAAGAUAACCCAUAUUUUCAUUUAGAAAUGCAACAGAGAAUUACAGUUGACCUGUACGUACCUAAAAUGCAGAGUAAAGGCCACUAUUUGACUUGAAUCAACUUCCAUAAAUUCUUCAGGACAGCUAAAAUGCAGAGUAAAGGCCACUAUUAGACUUGAAUCAACUUCCAUAAAUACUUCAGGACAACUACAAGCAGAACAACAUCAAAGAAAUGGACCAAAAUGAUGGUCUGAGUUCAGCCACCAAACAGCCGAUUCAACAGCAGAAAUCAAUACACAGCUUCAGUCUCGAGCUCUAAAUUGCCCGGGAUCCCAGAAAUCAACUCAAACCUCCAUUGAAAUCUCCGUUUUUCUUUAGUUUUUCGAAGCCUUUUUUUUAGAUUUGAUUUUUUUUUGAAAUUUAAAAGGGUCCCUUCUUUUCCAGAUAUGUGUAGGUGUAUAUGAAUGGGUGUGGGUGAAGGUGAGAAAUGAGAGUGAAGAAGACAGAGAAGAAUAAGGGACGACAGUCAGCUCUUCUAUGGAGAGAGAUUUGUGAGCUGCUGCUGAUUUUUCCGUUUUUCCGCCCUCUCUUGCGCCGCUGCUGCAUUUUUGGAAAGGUGAGAGUGCGAUCUUUGUUUUCAGUGGAGAAAUGAAGAAGAAGAAGACAGAAACUGAGAGCCUUGGGGUUGCGUCGUUCUUGUGUCUGUAUCGGUGUCUAGGGAUUUAGGCGUGUUUUUUCAUCUGAUGCCUUGGGUCCUUUUAAUGGGGAAGGGAUUAGGUUUAAUGAAGGGGGAA
rnacentral:lncRNA from 1 species